UUUCGGUAUCCUGUGUUGCUUACCUCGUACGGAAUUGUUCUUGUCUCGCUGUCCCUCUCCUCCUUUGCGACCUUCGGGUCGUAAGGGGGACCUCGUGGCGACACCCGUGUCCCGAACAUGCCUCGACCCUGUGUUGUGGUUGCCACGGUCCACGGGUGCUUCGCUAGUGCUCUCGGAUUCGGAAUACUUCGUGAGUGCGGGGGCCUUCGGCCUCCGAACGCUCAAAAAAGUCCCUUGGCACGGACGACUGUCGUGCCUGUAAAAAUCCCCAGCCGGAAGGGUGGCGGGCUUUUGCAGCGCACGACGUCCCAGAGGAAUGCUACCUGGUUGAUCCUGCCAGUAGUCAUAUGCU
rnacentral:misc_RNA from 1 species